rnacentral:tRNA from 1 species
GGGGAUAUAGCUCAAUGGUAGAAUGUGUGCUUGGCGUGCACAAGGUCCUGGAUUCAAUCCCCAGUGCCUCCA